CCUACGGGUGGCACCAGUGGGAAUAUUGCACAAUGGGCGCAAGCCUGAUGCAGCCAUGCCGCGUGUAUGAAGAAGGCCUUAGGGUUGUAAAGUACUUUCAGUUGGGAGGAAGGCGUUGAUGCUAAUAUCAUCAACGAUUGACGUUACCAACAGAAGAAGCACCGGCUAACUCCGUGCCAGCAGCCGCGGUGAUACGGAGGGUGCAAGCGUUAAUCGGAAUUACUGGGCGUAAAGCGCACGCAGGCGGUUGAUUAAGUUAGAUGUGAAAUCCCCGGGCUUAACCUGGGAAUGGCAUCUAAGACUGGUCAGCUAGAGUCUUGUAAAGGGGGGUAGAAUUCCAUGUGUAGCGGUGAAAUGCGUAGAGAUGUGGAGGAAUACCGGUGGCGAAGGCGGCCCCCUGGACAAAGACUGACGCUGAGGCGCGAAAGCGUGGGGAGCAAACAGGAUUAGAUACCCGCGUAG
rnacentral:rRNA from 1 species